rnacentral:tRNA from 1 species
GGCUAGCUAGCAAAGGGGUAAGGCAAGGGCCCGCAAAACCAGUGGGCGCGGGUUCAAUGCCCGCCCUCGCCUCCA